CCCAAGCACUCCGUCGGCGACCAUCGUACAGAGACCCCAAGCACUCUGCCAGCGACCAUCCUCCUCCGCCGUCGUCCCUCACCACCAUCCUCCUCUGCAGAUGUCCUCUCCCGAGCAGGCCCUCCGCACAAGCUCAACCGAGCACCAAGGAGGUCCUCAAGUGGCGCCGCCUCCUUAUUGAGCUCCUCUGGCAGCUGCACCUUCUCCACCGGCCACACCUCCAUUAGAGAUUGGCAAUUAUAGUGGAACUGGUCAAGAAUGGACAAGAGUUGGAUGGAUAAAGCUAGAAACACACAAGCAUAUAUUGACGGGGUAGUGAAAUUCAGAGUUUCCUUUUACUCAUUCAGCAAGAGGAAAUGUUAUAUUAUGUCCUUGUAAAAAAUGCUUCAAUUGUUGCUGGUGUGAAGCUAGUGUUGUCUAUGAAGACUUGUUAUGUUAUGGGUUUAUUAGUGGGUACAAAAGAUGGAUAUAUCAUGGGGAGUUGCAAUCACACAAAAAAAUCAUCAGAAAGGAAAGGAUGUGAUACUGUAUAAUGUUUAUCGAGACAAUGCUAGCCCAGUGGCAAAAGCAAUCAUUCUAUCAAUUGAUCGGAGAAAGUUGGUAGGUGGUCAGGAGCUUGGCCUUGAAUAUUGUGAGGUUGUCGUGAACUAUGUAAUAAAAAGGGAUGCUAUACUACCUCGUGGUGUUGGGAACAUGAACACCAUGGGGCAAGCUCAAGGGCGGUGCAUCGCAUAGCCAUACAAGCAUUUGGAAGUGGACAAGCCCAUGGCAAAAGAAGGAAUGUAACCACAAGCAAGCUGAGGAGAUGGAAGAUUUCUGUAUGUGCACUUCAAACAAUCCCUGCUUGAUCUAAUGAUGUAACAUUGCUUGUUGUGAUGAUGAAGUGUUGUACAUUUACAAGAAUUCUAUUUAUGCCGACUAGUUAAACUGCAGCAUGUUGUUACUUAAAAAAUCUGAAAUGAGAGCUACAUUUCGAAUUUCCUGUCUGUUACAGGUUUCACUACAGAAGUUGACGGAGAUUAGGAAGAUCUUGAAGCUGCUGAAGAUUUGGAAGAUCGAUGAUUAAGUUGGAGGAGUGAUGAUGUAAUAUGCUUUGUUUGUUGAACCUGGACAGUUGCUCUGUUCAUUUUGCUGGUUAAGCCCCUAUAUGCUCAUUUUGGUUGUGUGGCACUCCCAGAAACAUAUGUACUUUCUCCUUUUGUGGCAAUACUUUAGUUUGGUUGUGGAACAUUUAACAUAUAU